rnacentral:rRNA from 1 species
UACGUAGGUGGCAAGCGUUAUCCGGAUUUACUGGGUGUAAAGGGCGCGUAGGCGGGAGAGCAAGUCAGGUGUGAAAUCUAUGGGCUUAACUCAUAAACUGCACUUGAAACUGUUUUUCUUGAGUGCUGGAGAGGUAGACGGAAUUCCUUGUGUAGCGGUGAAAUGCGUAGAUAUAAGGAAGAACACCAGUGGCGAAGGCGGUCUACUGGACAGUAACUGACGCUGAGGCGCGAAAGCGUGGGGAGCAAAC